AUUGAACGCUGGCGGCAGGCUUAACACAUGCAAGUCGAGCGGAAACGAUGAUAGCUUGCUAUCAGGCGUCGAGCGGCGGACGGGUGAGUAAUACUUAGGAAUCUACCUAGUAGUGGGGGAUAGCACGGGGAAACUCGUAUUAAUACCGCAUACGACCUACGGGAGAAAGGGGGCAGUUUACUGCUCUCGCUAUUAGAUGAGCCUAAGUCGGAUUAGCUAGAUGGUGGGGUAAAGGCCUACCAUGGCGACGAUCUGUAGCUGGUCUGAGAGGAUGAUCAGCCACACCGGGACUGAGACACGGCCCGGACUCCUACGGGAGGCAGCAGUGGGGAAUAUUGGACAAUGGGGGAAACCCUGAUCCAGCCAUGCCGCGUGUGUGAAGAAGGCCUUUUGGUUGUAAAGCACUUUAAGCAGUGAAGAAGACUCCAUGGUUAAUACCCAUGGACGAUGACAUUAGCUGCAGAAUAAGCACCGGCUAACUCUGUGCCAGCAGCCGCGGUAAUACAGAGGGUGCAAGCGUUAAUCGGAAUUACUGGGCGUAAAGGGAGCGUAGGUGGCUCUAUAAGUCAGAUGUGAAAUCCCCGGGCUUAACCUGGGAACUGCAUCUGAAACUGUAGAGCUAGAGUAUGUGAGAGGAAGGUAGAAUUCCAGGUGUAGCGGUGAAAUGCGUAGAGAUCUGGAGGAAUACCGAUGGCGAAGGCAGCCUUCUGGCAUAAUACUGACACUGAGGCUCGAAAGCGUGGGUAGCAAACAGG
rnacentral:rRNA from 1 species